UACGUAGGGUGCGAGCGUUGUCCGGAAUUACUGGGCGUAAAGAGCUCGUAGGCGGUUUGUCGCGUCGUCCGUGAAAACUUGGGGCUCAACCCCAAGCUUGCGGGCGAUACGGGCAGACUUGAGUACUGCAGGGGAGACUGGAAUUCCUGGUGUAGCGGUGAAAUGCGCAGAUAUCAGGAGGAACACCGGUGGCGAAGGCGGAUCUCUGGGCCUUACCUGACGCUCAGGCACGAAAGCGUGGGGAGCAAACAGG
rnacentral:rRNA from 1 species